CUUGCGCAGAGGUAGAUUGUUUGGCACACGAGAUGUCGGCGUGGGUCGGAAAGCAUGCGGAAGUCCUGCUUUGCUACGUGAUGGAUUUGCAGGUGGAGGAACUCAGCCAUCCCGGUUACCGGUGGCAGGAUGAUUUCCUUUCAUCCCAACCUUUAUUUCCACAGUGAAAUCAUCAUGAAGGAGCACUGUGUUGGCAUCCUCGGCUACAGGGUGUCUCAUUCCACUGCAGUCCAGCGGUUCUGGGAUCACGAAGGUCAAGCCUCCAGCUGCAGGCAGUACACCUCCUACCUGAGCUCAUUCAGCUGUUUGGCUGAACAUGACUGCCCGGGUUUUGGCAGGAUUGCUGAGAUAUGGGAGUUAGCCUGUGAGCAUGUUUUCGAAUACGGA
rnacentral:lncRNA from 1 species